GAUUGCCUGGGAUGUGCGCCAGCAAGCCUAUGUCCCUGAGCCGAUGUCAUCAGUACAGGGGCUCACUGAGCGGCUAUUGUGCAAGCUCGACAUGUAUCGAGAAGCCUACGGUCGUGAUUUGCGCCCCGCCUUGAACCAGUGGGUUCAAGGGCUACGGCACGCAGCGGCAUCCUGGGCAAUCA
rnacentral:other from 2 species